rnacentral:rRNA from 1 species
UACGGAGGGUGCAAGCGUUAUCCGGAUUCACUGGGUUUAAAGGGUGCGUAGGUGGGUUUGUAAGUCAGUGGUGAAAUCUCCAAGCUUAACUUGGAACUGCCGUUGAUACUAUAAAUCUUGAAUGUUGUGGAGGUGAGCGGAAUAUGUCAUGUAGGCGGUGAAAUGCUUAGAUAUGACAUAGAACACCAAUUGCGAAGGCAGCUCACUACACAAAGAUUGACACUGAGGCACGAAAGCGUGGGGAUCAAACAGG